rnacentral:rRNA from 1 species
AUGCGUAGAUAUCAGGAGGAACACCAGUGUCGAAGUCGGCUCUCUGGUCCGGAAUUGACGCUGAGGUACUAAAGCGUGGGUAGCAAACAGGAUUAGAUACCAUGGUAGUCCACGCCCUAAACGAUGGAUACUUGAUGUCGGGAUGUUCGGUCGUCUCGGUGUCGUAGCUAACGUGUUAAGUAUCCCGCCUGGGGACUACGGUCGCAAGACUGAAACUCAAGGGAAUUGACGGGGGCCCGCACCAGCGGUGGAACAUGUGGUUUAAUUCGAUGCAACGCGAAGAACCUUACCUGGGCUUGACAUAUAUAUGAAGUAUGUAAGAAAUUAUGUAUUCUGUCUGCAUUUGCAGGUAGCAUAUAUACAGGUGAUGCAUGGCUGUCGUCAGCUCGUGUCGUGAGAUGUAGGGUUAAGUCCCUUAACGAGCGCAACCCUUGCUUUUAGUUGCCAUCAGGUAAUGCUGGGGACUCUAGAAGGACUGCCGAGGUUAACUCGGAGGAAGGUGGGGAUGACGUCAAGUCAGUAUGUCCCUUAUGUCCAGGGCUACACACGUGUUACAAUGGACGGUACAGAGUGCAGCUACGCCGUGAGGCUACGCAAAUCACUUAAAGCCGUUCCCAGUUCGGAUUGGAGUCUGCAAUUCGACUCCAUGAAGUUGGAAUCGCUAGUAAUCGCAGAACAGCAUGCUGCGGUGAAUACGUUCCCGGGCAUUGUACACACCGCCCGUCACGCCAUGGAAGUUGGGAGUACCCAAAGUUGCUGUC